UGAGGAAUCUUGCGCAAUGGGCGAAAGCCUGACGCAGCGACGCCGCGUGAGGGAUGAAGGCCUUCGGGUUGUAAACCUCUGUCAGGGGGGAAGAAUCCGGAGUCGGUGAAUACCCGACUCCACUGACGGUACCCCCAGAGGAAGCACCGGCUAACUCCGUGCCAGCAGCCGCGGUAAGACGGAGGGUGCGAACGUUGUUCGGAAUCACUGGGCGUAAAGGGCGCGUAGGCGGACUCGUAAGUCGGGAGUGAAAACUCGGGGCUCAACCCCGAGCCUGCUUCUGAAACUGCGAGUCUUGAGGACCGGAGAGGAAAGUGGAAUUCCUAGUGUAGCGGUGGAAUGCGUAGAUAUUAGGAAGAACACCAGUGGCGAAGGCGACUUUCUGGACGGUUCCUGACGCUGAGGCGCGAAAGCUAGGGGAGCAAACAGGAUUAGAUACCCUGGUAGUCCUAGCCGUAAACGAUGAGUGCUAGGUGGUGGUAGUUUCAACACUUUCACCGCCGCAGCCAACGCU
rnacentral:rRNA from 1 species